AACGCACAUUGCGCCCUCUGGUAUUCCGGAGGGCAUGCCUGUUCGAGCGUCAUUACAACCCUCAAGCUCUGCUUGGUAUUGGGCUUCAGGCGUCAGCCUGGGCCUUAAAAUCAGUGGCGGUGCCGUCUGGCUCUAAGCGUAGUAAAUCUCUCGCUAUAGAUGCCUGGUGGAGACUUGCCAUAACCCCCAAUUUUUACAGGUUGACCUCGGAUCAGGUAGGGAUACCCGCUGAACUUAA
rnacentral:misc_RNA from 1 species